GGAGAGAUGACCGAGCGGCCGAAGGUGCACGAUUGGAAAUCGUGUGUGCUCAAAAGGUACCGAGGGUUCGAAUCCCUCUCUCUCCG
rnacentral:tRNA from 1 species